AUGGAGCCCCCACCCAAAAUGCUUGCCUCUCUCAAGAUAACCAUACUGAUGAUGAUGAUGGCCUCCUCUGUCGCACUUGCGUCGGUAGCAGCGGUGCCCGGAGGACAAGCAAGAGCGCUCCUCGUCUGGAAAGCAAGCCUCGACAACCAAAGCCAGCAUGCCCUGCGCUCCUGGGGAAACAUGUCAUCGCCCUGCAAUUGGCGCGGCAUCACUUGCGGUACCGAUGUGCAUCGGCGCCGGCGGCGGCCGGUGAUCAGUGGCAUCUCUCUGCGCGAGAUGCGACUAGGUGGGACGCUGGAGUCCCUCAAUUUCUCAUCCUUGAGGACCCUGACACGCCUCGACCUCUCGCACAACCACAUCGCUGGGAGCAUUCCACCCAGUAUUGAGGUCCUCGGAGAGCUCCGCGCUCUCCUUCUGCAAGGCAACCAGAUAAGAGGCUCAAUCCCACUAGGUCUAGGAAAUCUCACAAAAUUGCGCGUCUUAAUGCUUCAUGAAAAUGAAGUCUCUGGUGAAAUACCAAUGCAUAUAGGCAAUAUGAGUAAUCUUGAGACGCUCAACUUCUCAAUCAAUCACUUAGUUGGUCAUAUCCCUUCUGAAGUAGGCCACCUAAAGCGCUUGGUUAGGCUAGAUUUGUCUAACAAUAAUCUUUCGGGCUCGAUCCCAAGCAGUGUACAUGACUUGACCAAACUCACUACCUUAUACCUUUACCGCAACCAACUUUCUGGACACAUCCCUCAAAAACUUGGUCAUUUGGUCAACUUAGAGGACCUGGGACUUAGCUACAACAAGCUGAUAGGUUCCAUCCCAAACAGUUUAGGAAAUUUGACAAAACUCACUACCUUGUACCUUGACGUGAACCAACUUUCCGGGCAAAUUCCAGGAGGACUAGGUUGGUUGUUGCAGUUAGAGAUCUUAGAUCUCGAUAGCAACAUGCUAACAGGUUCCAUCCCAAACAGCCUAGGCAAUUUAACAAAGCUCACUAUGUUGUACCUUUACAGUAACCAACUAUCUCGCCAUAUUCCUCAAGAACUAGGUUAUUUGGUAAACUUAGAGGAAUUGUCUCUUACAAAUAACGCACUAACAGGUUCCAUCCCAAACAACCUAGGAAAUCUAACAAAACUCGCUAGCUUGUACCUUCCUCAUAACCAAAUUUCCGACCACAUUCCCCCAGAAUUAGGUCAUUUGGUCAACUUAGAGUACCCGGAGCUUAGCAACAACACAAUAAAAGGUUCCAUCCCAAUUUGCCUAGGUAAUUUGACAAAACUCACGACCUUGUACCUUUACUGUAACCAACUUUCUGGGGAAAUUCCACGAGAACUAGGUUCGUUAUCGAACUUAGAGAACUUGGAUCUUAGCAACAACACACUGACAGGUUCCAUCCCCAACAACCUAGGCAAUUUAAAAAAACUCACUACCUUGUACCUUUUCCAGAACCAACUUUCUGGGAAAAUUCCACGAGAACUAGGUUACGGGGUGAACUUAGAAAACUUGGCUCUUAAUGAGAACACACUCUCAGGUUCCAUCCCAAAGAGUUUAGGAAAUUUGACAAAAUUGACUACCUUGUACCUUAGCCAAAAUCAACUUUCUGGGAAAAUUCCGCAGGAACUUGGUCAUUUGGUUAACUUAAAGGACUUGAACCUUAACUACAACAAGCAUAUAGGUUCCAUUCCAAAUAGCCUAGGAAAUUUAACAAAACUCGCUAUUUUGCAGCUUGGCGAGAACCAACUUUCGGGGAAAAUUCCACAAGAACUAGGUAGGUUGUUGAACUUAGAGCUCAUGGAGCUUGGCAGUAACACACUAACAAGUUUCAUCCCAAAUAUCCUAGGGAAUUUGACAAAACUCACUACCUUACACCUUUCCUACAACCAACUUUUUGGACACGUCCCUCGAGAACUUGGUCAUUUGGUCAACCUAAUGGACUUGAGACUUAGCUACAAUAAGAUAAUAGGUUCCAUCCCAAAUAUCUUAGGAAAUUUGACAAAACUCACUAGCUUGUACAUUGGCCAAAACCAACUUUCCGGGCAAAUUCCACGAGAACUGGGUUGGUUGUGGAACUUACAAGCCUUGGCACUUGGUCAAAACACACUCUCUGGUUCCAUCCCAAAUAAUAUAGGGAAUUUGAGUCUACCUAUAUUGGAUCUGGCUUUUAACAGCCUCUCUGGUACCUUGCCGUCUGGACUUUGUGUGGGAGGUCGGCUACAACAUUUUGCUGUUGCAAGCAACAACUUGGUUGGACCCUUCCCAUCAAGCUUGCUAAGUUGUUCAAGCCUAGUUUGGCUUCGACUUGAAAAAAAUAACCUCAAAGGAGAUAUCACCAAGAUGGGAGCUUAUCCAAAUCUUGUUUAUAUUGAUAUCAGUUCAAAUAAACUAUUUGGUAAAUUAUCUCAUCUCUGGGGCGAGUGCUACAAACUUACUAUGCUACGUGCAUCAAACAAUAGAAUAAUUGGAGUAAUACCAUCAAGCAUAGGGAAAUUAUCCAAGUUGGGGAUACUUGACAUUUCGUCAAACAAGCUUGAAGGACAGAUUCCACCAGAAAUUGGUAAUGUAACAAUGUUGUUCAACCUGAGACUUUCCAAUAACUUGCUCGAGGGAAAUAUACCACAAGAAAUUGGAUCACUAAAGAACUUGGAGUACCUAGAUUUAUCAUCAAACAAUCUAGUUGGGCAGAUACCAGGAUCAAUUGGGCGUUGCCUAAAGAUCCACUUCCUAAAAUUGUGCCAUAACCAACUCAAUGGUACCAUUCCUAUUGAACUAGGAGUGUUGGUAAACCUACAAGAUUUGUUGGAUAUAAGUGACAAUUCAAUUGAUGGUACUAUUCCAAGUCUACUAGGUGGUCUUGGUAUGCUUGAAGUUUUGAAUCUUUCUCACAAUGCAUUGGACGGUGGCAUUCCACCAUCAUUUCAAAGCAUGAACAGCCUCCGAUCCAUGGACGUUUCAUACAACAAAUUGGAAGGGUCAGUGCCAUAUACUAGACUUUUUGAAGAAGCUCCUGUCAAAUGGUUCUGGCAUAAUAACAAAUUAUGUGGUGUCGUGAAAGGUUUGCCCCCUUGCGAUCUUCCUCAAAGUAGUGGACAAGGAAAUAAUUCUAGAGCUAUUUUACUAGCUAUCAUACCGACCAUUGUAUCAUUUGUGUUUCUCACUACACUAAUAACAUGGCAAUGCAAAAAGAAGAAACCCCAAGCAGAAACUACAAAUGUAGUACAACAAACCAAUUUGUUUGCCAUCUGGAAUUUUGAUGGGGAAGAUGUGUACAAGAAAAUUGUUGAUGUCACAAACAAUUUCAGCGAAGCUUAUUGCGUUGGAUCUGGAGGAAAUGGAUCUGUGUAUAGAGCUCAGUUACCAACAGGAGAAUUAUUUGCAGUGAAGAAGAUACAUAUGGUGGAAGAUGAUGAGCAAUUUAACCGUGAAAUACAUGCGUUGAUGCAUAUUCGACAUCGCAACAUUGCAAAGUUACUUGGUUACUGCUCUGCACCCCAAGGACGAUUCCUUGUGUAUGAUUACAUGAAUGGAGGGAGCUUAGCAGCAUCUUUGAGGGGCAAGGAAACUGCAAAUGAAUUAGGUUGGAUGAAAAGGUUAAAUAUUAUUUGGGAUGUUGCUCAUGCUUUGUCUUACAUGCAUCACGACUGCUUUGCACCGAUAGUCCACCGUGAUAUAACAAGUAGCAAUGUUUUGCUUGAUGUCGAAUUUAAGGCAUGCAUCUCGGAUUUUGGUCUAGCGAAGAUCCUAGACAAGGAUGCAUCAAGCUGCACGAGUCUCGCCGGAACAAAAGGAUAUCUUGCCCCAGAACUUGCAUACACAACUAGAGUGACAGAGAAGUGUGAUGUUUAUAGCUUUGGAGUGCUGGUUCUAGAGUUGUUCAUGGGACAUCAUCCAGGUGAUUUUCUUUCAUCCAUGGACAACAACAGCCAAAGUACAUCACUUGUAAAUUUCCUGGACACCCGACUCCCACUUCCUGAAGCUGAAAUCGCCCGCAAAAUAUUCAAAGUAAUUUCGGUCGCGGUUUGGUGCAUAGAACCUGAUCCGGCACACCGUCCGACUAUGCAGCAAGUGAUCAAGGCGUUCUCAACAGCUGAACAGUCACCUGCUAACAAUGUUAAUUAUCUCCACACGGCCAUUGUCAUCCCCGCCUGCUGGUCCUGA
rnacentral:rRNA from 1 species